GGCCUCCUGGUGCUCACCACAGGCUGUGUUUUUACACUCACUAUAAAGAAAGAGGAGGCAAAGUAAACCUACUCCAUAUAUUCCUCAGCCCAGGUUUGUGCCUGGCCUGUAUUAUGAAUGGGGAGACAUGA
rnacentral:snoRNA from 1 species